rnacentral:rRNA from 1 species
UACGUAGGGCGCAAGCGUUGUCCGGAAUUAUUGGGCGUAAAGAGCUCGUAGGCGGCUUGUCACGUCGGGUGUGAAAGCCCGGGGCUUAACCCCGGGUCUGCAUUCGAUACGGGCUAGCUAGAGUGUGGUAGGGGAGAUCGGAAUUCCUGGUGUAGCGGUGAAAUGCGCAGAUAUCAGGAGGAACACCGGUGGCGAAGGCGGCUCUCUGGACGGUGACUGACGCUGAGACGCGAAAGCGUGGGGAGCAAACAGG